rnacentral:rRNA from 1 species
AGAGUUUGAUCCUGGCUCAGGAUGAACGCUGGCGGCGUGCUUAACACAUGCAAGUCGAACGAGCCUUCGGGCUAGUGGCGGACGGGUGAGUAACGCGUGGGAAUCUGCCCUCAGGAGGGGGAUAACGGCCGGAAACGGCCGCUAAUACCCCAUAUGCCGAGAGGUGAAAUGAAUUUCGCCUGAGGAUGAGCCCGCGUCUGAUUAGCUAGUUGGUGUGGUAAUGGCGCACCAAGGCUUCGAUCAGUAGCUGGUCUGAGAGGAUGAUCAGCCACACUGGGACUGAGACACGGCCCAGACUCCUACGGGAGGCAGCAGUGGGGAAUUUUCCGCAAUGGGCGCAAGCCUGACGGAGCAACGCCGCGUGAGGGACGAAGGCCUCUGGGCUGUAAACCUCUUUUCUCAAGGAAGAAGACAUGACGGUACUUGAGGAAUAAGCCACGGCUAAUUCCGUGCCAGCAGCCGCGGUAAUACGGGAGUGGCAAGCGUUAUCCGGAAUUAUUGGGCGUAAAGCGUCCGCAGGCGGCCCAGCAAGUCUGUUGUUAAAAAGUGGAGCUUAACUCCAUCCAGGCAAUGGAAACUGCUGGGCUAGAGUGUGGUAGGGGCAGAGGGAAUUCCCGGUGUAGCGGUGAAAUGCGUAGAUAUCGGGAAGAACACCAGUGGCGAAGGCGCUCUGCUGGGCCAUAACUGACGCUCAUGGACGAAAGCCAGGGGAGCGAAAGGGAUUAGAUACCCCUGUAGUCCUGGCCGUAAACGAUGAACACUAGGUGUCGGGGGAAUCGACCCCCUCGGUGUCGUAGCCAACGCGUUAAGUGUUCCGCCUGGGGAGUACGCACGCAAGUGUGAAACUCAAAGGAAUUGACGGGGGCCCGCACAAGCGGUGGAGUAUGUGGUUUAAUUCGAUGCAACGCGAAGAACCUUACCAGGGUUUGACAUCCUGCGAAUCCCUUGGAAACUUGGGAGUGCCUUCGGGAGCGCAGUGACAGGUGGUGCAUGGCUGUCGUCAGCUCGUGUCGUGAGAUGUUGGGUUAAGUCCCGCAACGAGCGCAACCCACGUCUUUAGUUGCCAGCAUUCAGUUGGGCACUCUAGAGAGACCGCCGGUGAUAAACCGGAGGAAGGUGUGGAUGACGUCAAGUCAUCAUGCCCCUUACAUCCUGGGCUACACACGUACUACAAUGCUACGGACAAAGGGCAGCAAACUCGCGAGAGCUAGCAAAUCCCAUAAACCGUGGCUCAGUUCAGAUCGUAGGCUGCAACUCGCCUACGUGAAGGAGGAAUCGCUAGUAAUCGCAGGUCAGCAUACUGCGGUGAAUACGUUCCCGGGCCUUGUACACACCGCCCGUCACACCAUGGAAGUUGGCCAUGCCCGAAGUCGUUACUCCAACCCGUAAGGGAGGAGGACGCCGAAGGUGGGGCUGAUGACUGGGGUGAAGUCGUAACAAGGUAGCCGUACCGGAAGGUGCGGCUG